UUAAGAAAAUUUUUAUAGAAAAUCAACUACUAAGGCUAAUAAACAAAUCUACCAAAAUCACCCAAAUAAAAAUAUCUUUGGUUGGGGCAACCGCGAAGAAAAAACAACCUUCGACCUAAAAAAGAAAUCAACAAAUUUAAAAAUUUUUAUUAUAAAAGUAUAAAUGACCCAGAAAUUCUGAUCAAAGGAAAAAGUUACCGCAGGGAUAACAGCGUUAUUCUCUUUAAGAGUUCAUAUUGACAAGAGAGUUUGCGACCUCGAUGUUGGACCAGGGCACCCCAGAGAUGCAGCAGCCUCUAAAGGUAGGUCUGUUCGACCUUUAAAGCCCCACGUGAUCUGAGUUCAGACCGACGCAAGU
rnacentral:rRNA from 1 species